rnacentral:lncRNA from 1 species
GCGACUAAAGCGAGAAUCAUGAAGCUUGAGUCACAUUAGAAAACUCACCUUAGAGGAAAACCUCAAGCACUGAACUAGAGGUUAAGCCACGAAGGCUCUUUCUCAAAGAAGUUAUCUCAGGAGCUAGAACACUAAAAGCAUGAGGCUUGAACCACAAAGGUAUCCACCUUAAAAGACCUUUGUAUUGGGAUCCACAUUUUCACCGCUAAAGUCACACCUUUGCUCCUUUAUUUUGAGAGACUUCCGACAAAUCUUAGAGGGAGACUUUUAUAGAGUUUCUCAUACACUUUCCUCUGUACUUUAAAAAAUAUUAUUAGAGGUUUAGAAGAUGAUGUAUUUUCUUAGAGGGAGACUUUUAUAGAGUUUCUCAUACACUUUCCUCUGUAUUUUAAAGAAUAUUAUUAGAGGUUUAGAAGAUGAUGUAUUUUCUUUGUAUGAAUUUUUCUAUCCAUUAUAAGGAGCUAAUUCUCCUAAAGUGUUUAAGGAAGAUGUAACCCUUUGAAACUCUCUUGUAAUUGAUACAAU